UUAGCUCGAACUAUAGGUCGAUGAUUAUCCAUGAAAUAUCAAAGAAUGCAUAAAAAGAAAGAUCGUACCCUCGAGGCCUUUCACGUUGGCAAGGUCGAGGGUGUCGUCUUCAAGCAAGAAAUCGAUCUUGUCUGCAAGGGGGUCGUGGUUCACUAACCUCAGCCUAUCUCUCUCUAAAACCUCAAAAUAGGCCUGACCUUCGUUAAACCUAUCUUUAUCGGGGAUUUCCCACCUCGGGCUAAAGGGAUGAUCGAG
rnacentral:lncRNA from 1 species